CUCUUAUCUCUUUGGGCAAGAAGAGCCUGACAGGUGGGCCCCACCUGUCAGUGGCUCAGCUCGGGCGCGCGGGGCGCUAGCGGGCGGGCGGGCUAGCCGGGCCGGUUCGCGAGGCCGGGCCGACGGGCGCGCGCGUGCGGCGGGCGGGGCCGGUUCGGCCCAUUCCGCCGGGCCGGUCCGUUUCUUUUCUUUUCUCUUUUUCUUUUUCUGUUUUUCCUUUAUAGCUUUUGAUUUUGAACUCGAAAUGAACUCAAAUAAAUUCCAGAAAAUUUGUAAAAUCAUAUCCUCAAAUGCCAUAGCA
rnacentral:lncRNA from 1 species